UACGGAGGGGGCUAGCGUUGUUCGGAAUUACUGGGCGUAAAGCGCACGUAGGCGGCUUUGCAAGUUAGAGGUGAAAGCCCCGGGGCUCAACUCCGGAAUUGCCUUUAAAACUGCAUCGCUAGAGUUGUGGAGAGGUAAGUGGAAUUCCGAGUGUAGAGGUGAAAUUCGUAGAUAUUCGGAAGAACACCAGUGGCGAAGGCGACUUACUGGACACAUACUGACGCUGAGGUGCGAAAGCGUGGGGAGCAAACAGG
rnacentral:rRNA from 1 species